UACAGAGGUCCCGAGCGUUGUUCGGAUUCACUGGGCGUAAAGGGUGCGUAGGUGGCGAGGUAAGUCGGAUGUGAAAGCUCGGAGCUCAACUCCGAAAUGGCAUUGGAAACUACCUUGCUCGAGGGUUGGAGGGGGGACUGGAAUACUUGGUGUAGCAGUGAAAUGCGUAGAUAUCAAGUGGAACACCAGUGGCGAAGGCGAGUCCCUGGACAGAUACUGACACUGAGGCACGAAAGCUAGGGGAGCAAACAGG
rnacentral:rRNA from 1 species